GCGGGGAGCGCCGGGCCCUGGGCUGUGUCCCCAAGCACCCUGGACUCCGGGGCCUGCACCGCUGGAAUCGCGCUCCCUGGGCCGCGCAGCCCCCU
rnacentral:pre_miRNA from 1 species